AGUGAACGCUGGCGGCGUGCUUAACACAUGCAAGUCGAACGAGGACGGGAUUAGCUUGCUAAUCUGUCAGCUAAGUGGCGCACGGGUGAGUAAUAUAUAGGUAACGUGCCUUCAAGAGGGGGAUAACAGAUGGAAACGUCUGCUAAAACCCCAUAUGCCUUUAAUGCGAAAGUAUGCAAGGGAAAUAUUUAUAGCUUGAAGAUCGGCCUGUACAGUAUCAGAUAGUUGGUGAGGUAAUAGCUCACCAAGUCAAUGACGCUUAACUGGUUUGAGAGGAUGAUCAGUCACACUGGAACUGAGACACGGUCCAG
rnacentral:rRNA from 1 species